ACGUCCGUUAUUGUUUGAGUCGGUAUGAGGUGAGCAUCUGCUCUGCUGAUUAUUACCCCGUCGGACACGGAUUAUUUUAAAAAUUCUUGUUAAAUUCUUAUUUUGAGCGAAUUUGAGUUGUGAUAUGUCAAUGAAGGACAAAAGCUGGAAUGUGAACAGAGGAUGGGGUCGUAAUAUUACGUGGUCUGUAAAAAUACUGGCGAAAUCACUAAAGGUUAAGCAUUGGAAUAUGAUUUUUUCGGGGGGAGAACACCCAAAUAGAGACAAAUCCACCAACUACAUGAAAGGUCAUGUCACCUACCUUCAUCAGUCCUGUCUUUAAUUCACUGGAAAACAUUAAGGGAAAGACCCUCAGACAUGUCAUAACAGGAUAAAGGCUGCAGACUCACCAAGGAUCCAUAUGAUUAAUGGCAAUUUGGUGGAGGAUUUUUCUUUAGCUGCUAUCACUUCUGGUAUGCAUUCAUUGACCUUUUAUGAUUUGAUUUUACUCAAUUUAAUAAAAAUGUACACUACCGUUCAAAAGUUUGGGGUCAA